UACAGAGAGUGCAAACGUUGUUCGGAAUUACUGGGCUUAAAGAGCACGUAGGCGGCAUCGUAAGUGUCGGGUGAAAUCCCACGGCUCACCCGUGGAACUGCCUGGCAGACUGCGAUGCUCGAGUGUGGUAGGGGAGAGCGGAACUCCUGGUGGAGCGGUGAAAUGCGUAGAUAUCAGGAGGAACACCGGUAGCGAAGGCGGCUCUCUGGUCCACAACUGACGCUGUGGUGCGAAAGCUGGGGGAGCAACCGGG
rnacentral:rRNA from 1 species